ACCACCCGUCUUCUUCCUCGACGUCAGAUCCGCGCGGCAGGGACCUGUCCCUGACGGAUCGAACAAGCACCACCUCCAUGUGCUACAGAAUCGAGGUCGGCGUGGCCUUGUUGCGGCUGUGACCACCCCAUCUUCCCGGCGGCGUCGCGUCCCCUCAACUCCCUCACGGCGGACUGCAGCGAGGGCAGCAACCACCCGCAUGGUGGACUGCAGCGACUCUGCAUCGGGACGGCCAGCCUCGGCGGCCCCAACCCCGACCUCGCCCCUGCCGCGCACCACCACCAUCCCCUCCCCCGAUCCAGGGUCCUACAUAGAGAGAAGAUCACCAGAUCCGUCCCCUCGAUGACAAGUUCCUCCUCCAUCACGCGCCAACAGCAACCACGGUGGGGAGGUACCCUUACUGCCUCGAUCUGGUCCCGACGAGGAGCUCCUCCCUCCCGCUCCUCUCCGGCGGCCGUUGGGCUGGGUCCAUGCUGGCGAUGAGGGCCCCUGGCCCAUAUUCUUGUUCCUAUCUAACCCCUCCAAUGGCCUGCAAGGAGCUCCCCUCCCAUCUCCAAGCGCCGCGUGCGUGUGCAGCUCGCCUGCGUAUUGCGUGCAGCCCGCGUGCGCGUGCAUGUGCAGUUCGACAGUGGGUGGAGUAGCACUGCAGCCCUGCCCUCCGCCGCUGGGGCAGCACGGCUGUGGCGAUGCACUGGCCGUGCAGUGCACCGCGGCUCUACGUGCAGUGUAGUGGGUGUGUGACACCUCGAGUACUCCUCCUCGACUCCACACCCACUUGCAGUAUAGCAUGUCCACGGAUUAUUCUUCGUCGAGGACUUGCAGCUCGCCGGCGAGUGGCUCGCGGUUCGGGCAGCUUGGUCAUGUGCGCGUGUUACGCGAAGAUGGGGUGCAGGAAGACGGUGAUUUUUGUGUGUAUUUUGCUCACGGUUGACAUUUUUUCACUUUUUAGAUUUUGACUGCCAUCCCAUGGGUGCACAGGUGCAGUGCUGGGGGACUGGACAUGCAGUGCGUUGGCGCCGACUUGCAUUCACGGACAAAAAUGUGGAUUUAUUUUUUAAGUCCCUCGUCACUGUAAUUUGUGUGUGUUUGUAUUGUGGAUUAAAAAGAGGACCAUUGCAGUUCGUUCGCCCUGUCUCGUAGUCCAGAGAAGUAUAGAUUGCAACUCUAUUGUAAACGUGCAUUGAAGACAACAACACAUUUUUCAAGUGUAGCUCACUUGUUUCAUCGAGGUUCACUUUUCAUAAAGUAUUGCGGUUC
rnacentral:rRNA from 1 species